rnacentral:tRNA from 1 species
UCCCACGUGGCUUAGCUGGUAAAGAAUCUGCCUGCAAUGCAGGAGACCUGGGUUUGAUCCCUGAGUUGGGA